rnacentral:rRNA from 1 species
GGACGAACGCUGGCGGCGUGCCUAAUACAUGCAAGUCGAACGGCUUUUCUAUGGAAGCUUGCUUCCACUGAGAAGAUAGUGGCGAACGGGUGAGUAACACGUGGGUAACCUGCCCAUAAGAGGGGGGAUAACAUCCGGAAACGGGUGCUAAUACCGCAUAGUUUUCUUGAUCGCAUGAUCGGGAAAGGAAAGACGGCCUUUGUGCUGUCGCUUAUGGAUGGACCCGCGGCGUAUUAGUUAGUUGGUGAGGUAACGGCUCACCAAGACGAUGAUACGUAGCCGACCUGAGAGGGUGAUCGGCCACAUUGGGACUGAGACACGGCCCAAACUCCUACGGGAGGCAGCAGUAGGGAAUCUUCCGCAAUGGACGAAAGUCUGACGGAGCAACGCCGCGUGAGUGAAAGAAGGUUUUCGGAUCGUAAAACUCUGUUGUCAGAGAAGAACAAGUUGGAGAGUAACUGCUCCAGCCUUGACGGUAUCUGACCAGAAAGCCACGGCUAACUACGUGCCAGCCGCCGC